rnacentral:rRNA from 1 species
UACGGGGGGGGCAAGCGUUGUUCGGAAUUACUGGGCGUAAAGGGCUCGUAGGCGGCCAACUAAGUCGGACGUGAAAUCCCCAGGCUCAACCUGGGAACUGCGUCCGAUACUGGGUGGCUUGAAUCCGGGAGAGGGAUGCAGAAUUCCAGGUGUAGCGGUGAAAUGCGUAGAUAUCUGGAGGAAUACCGGUGGCGAAGGCGGCAUCCUGGACCGGCAUUGACGCUGAGGAGCGAAAGCCAGGGGAGCAAACGGGG